rnacentral:lncRNA from 1 species
GGCUGUGGUAGCCUCAGUGGUAGUGCCAGAAGUUGGUGUGGUAGUCUGUUCCGUUGAAGUGGUGGCUGUUGUGGUUGUAGCUUCAGUGGUCCUGCUGACAGUUGGUAUGGUAGUCUGCUCAGUAGAAGUGGUGGCUGCUGUGGUAGUUGUAGUUUCAGUGGAAAUGGUAGUGGUGGCUGUUGCAGUGGUAGCCUCAGUGGUAGUGCUGGUAGUUGGUGUGGUAGUCAGUUCUGUUGAAGUGGUGGCUGUUGCAGUGGUAGUCUCAGUGGUAUGCUGGUAGUUGGUGUGGUAGUCAGUUCUGUUGAAGUGGUGGCUGUUGCAGUGGUAGUCUCAGUGGUAGUGCUGGUAGUUGGUGUGGUAGUCUGUUCAGUUGAUGUAGUGGCUAUUGUGGUUGUAGAUUCUGUGGGAGCAGUAGUGGUGGCUGUUGUGGUUGUAACCUCCAUGGUAGGGCUGGAAGUUGGUGUGGUACUUGGUUCCAUUAAAGUCGUGGUUGUUGUGGCAGCCUCAGUAGUACUGCUGGUAGUCAUUGUGGUAGUUGGUUCAGUUGAAGUGAUAGCUGCUGUGGUGGUUGUAGUUUCGGUUGAAAUGGUAGUGGUGGCUGUUGCAGUAGUAGCCUCAGUGGGGGUGCUGGCAGUUGGUGUGGUAGUCUGUUCCAUUGAAGUGGUGGCUGUUGUGGUUGUAGCCUCAGUGGUAGUGCUGGCAGUUGGUGUAGUAGUUUGUUCAGUUGAAGUGGUGACUGUUGUGGUUGUAGCCUCAGUGGUAGUGCUGGCAGUAGGUGUGGUACUCUGUUCCAUGGAAGUGGUGGCUGUUGUGGUUGUAGCCUCAGUGGUAGUGCUGGAAGUUGGUGUAG